AUUGAACGCUGGCGGCAGGCCUAACACAUGCAAGUCGAGCGAGCGGCGGACGGGUGAGUAAUGUAUGGGGACUGCCCGAUAGAGGGGGAUAACUACUGGAAACGGUGGCUAAUACCGCAUACUAUCGGAUAACCCAUAUGGGAUUAGCUAGUAGGUGGGGUAAAGGCUCACCUAGGCGACGAUCUCUAGCUGGUCUGAGAGGAUGAUCAGCCACAUUGGAACUGAGAAACGGGCCAAAGUCCUACGGAGGCAGCAGGGGGGAAUAUUGCACAAUGGAGGGAACUCUGAUGCAGGGACGCGGCGUGGGGGAUGAAGGCUUUCGGGUUGUAAACCUCUUUCGCUAUCGAACGGGUAGGUGGAGAAGAAGCACCGGCUAACUCCGUGCCAGCAGCCGCGGUAAUUC
rnacentral:rRNA from 1 species